rnacentral:rRNA from 1 species
AUUGAACGCUGGCGGCAGGCCUAACACAUGCAAGUCGAACGGUAACAGGAAGAAGCUUGCUUCUUUGCUGACGAGUGGCGGACGGGUGAGUAAUGUCUGGGAAACUGCCUGAUGGAGGGGGAUAACUACUGGAAACGGUAGCUAAUACCGCAUAACGUCGCAAGACCAAAGAGGGGGACCUUCGGGCCUCUUGCCAUCGGAUGUGCCCAGAUGGGAUUAGCUAGUAGGUGGGGUAACGGCUCACCUAGGCGACGAUCCCUAGCUGGUCUGAGAGGAUGACCGGCCACACUGGAACUGAGACACGGUCCAGACUCCUACGGGAGGCAGCAGUAGGGAAUAUUGCACAAUGGGCGCAAGCCUGAUGCAGCAAUGCCGCGUGUAUGAAGAAGGCCUUCGGGUUGUAAAGUACUUUCAGCGGGGAGGAAGGGAGGAAAGUUAAUACCUUUGCUCAUUGACGUUACCCGAAGAAGAAGCACCGGCUAACUCCGUG